UUUAUACUCCCUCCGUCCGGAAAUACUUGUCGGAGAAAUGCAUAAAAAUGAAUGUAUGUAGAACUAAAAUACAUCUAUAUACAUCCAUUCCUCCGACGAGUAUUUCCGGACGGAGGGAGUACUAU
rnacentral:pre_miRNA from 1 species